CUCACAUCUGCCUGGCUGCAUCUUCCUACUGGAAUCCGUUCUACCGCUGAUGGGAAACUGAGGCCCAGAGGGUGAGGAGCUUGACCUGGGGUGAAAUCACCUGCCUGGGACCACACAGGACUUGGACUGGAGACAAAUCCUGGGGAUGAAAGGAAAGGUGCCCUGGAGCUGGCCCGAGGCCAUAUGGUAGACCAUCUUGCCACCUUCUCC